rnacentral:rRNA from 1 species
GUAGGUGGCAAGCGUUGUCCGGAAUUAUGGGCGUAAAGCGCGCGCAGGUGGGGUCUUUAAGUCUGAUGUGAAAGCCCCCGGGCUCAACCGGGGGAGGGUCAUUGGAAAACUGGGGGAACUUGAGUGCAGGAGAGGAAAGUGGAAUUCCACGUGUAGCGGUGAAAUGCGUAGAUAUGUGGAGGAACACCAGUGGCGAAGGCGACUUUCUGGCCUGUAACUGACACUGAGGCGCGAAAGCGUGGGGAGCAAACAGGAUUAGAUACCCUGGUAGUCCACGCCGUAAACGAUGAGUGCUAAGUGUUGGGGGGUUUCCGCCCCUCAGUGCUGCAGCUAACGCAUUAAGCACUCCGCCUGGGGAGUACGGUCGCAAAGACUG